UCGGGAGUUAGAUGAAUAAAUCUUCAAAUGAUUCUCUUCUGGUAUAUUGCACUUUUCACUGUAUCUGAAUACCACCUGCAGGGGCUAUAGAAAACAGAGAAGACUCCACCGGUCUAUACAAAAUGAUAGAUGGCCUUGGAAGGUAUAAUGCGGGGAUUCCCGAAGAUUAGACCUGUUCAUAACCAGGUCGAGAAUUGAAACGAGACGAACUCUUUUUAAGUUCAUCAGCGAUAUUACCCCACGGCUCAACUGCAGACGCGAGACAAAAUAUUUUUUUUUCAUGGAAGCUAGCCGGAAAAAGCUGCACGCUAUAGUGGAGAGGAUUUCAUAGGCUGUCCAUUCACAACUCGGCAACUGCUCGGCGUUAGAGCGCUGUGUAGAAACCGCGUGUGUAUUGACGUUUUGACAGGAGACCACAAACUUUACAUUUUUUAUCAUCUGAUAUUGUAUGUAUUUAUAAAACGCGUGUGCGAUGGUUGAUUUGAGGUCUACGAUUUUAGCUCUCGGUUUUUGAUGUUUUGUGUGGUUAGAGGAAUUCCAAAUAUUCUGACCUGCAGACAGCUCAUUAGGGUCACAAACUGACAGAGAUCAACAGAGAAUAUUUGUCCGUGUAAACAGUUCCAGGCCUGAUUGACAGAGGAGAGAUAUAAGGACAUAAAAGGGGUACCACCUUUGAUAAAGAUCAAAUCAAUUUAUUGAGAUGAGAUGAUCAGCACAGACUGCAGUGCU